UUUCUAAUUAUGUAAGGCUGGGUAUUGUAUCUCGUCAUCAAACGCUAGACCAGAAAUAGUCAGUUGACAUUUUUUCCCCCUACUUCCUCGCUAUGCAGACAAGCACAAUUUGGCUCCACUGAGGUGCAGAUUUUUCCUUUAUACACUAGUUAUUUUUCAGUUUCGUCCUAAGAACAGAUUGUAGUGUUAAAAUAAAUGGAUACUUUUUUGGUGUUAAAUGGGAAUCUAAGCAUCACUCGUCAAAUCAGGCUCUGCGUACGUUCGAUUCCAUUCCAUCCAGUAGUUUUAGCUUAGCCAACGUUCUAAAGCCGGCUUCAGCCUUGGGUGAAUUUUGACUCGUUCUUUUGUCCAGCCGACCUAUGCGGAUGUUUAUCUAGUUCCCAAGAGCAGCAGAUCAAUCUGCCACCCCCAGUAGUUCAGCUGUAGUCACAGCCGUCCUCAGUUGUGGUAUUUAAUAUACCGGCUGCACCAAUUCUUACUUCACUGGCCUUGAAGGGAGACACUUUUGAGGAUUCCCAACUGGAUACAGAUCUGCAAUGCAUUCCACUGCCUGACAGCCUCACCCAGAAGUGCAUACACUGGGCCUAUCAAGACUGACAAAGCAGAGAUGGGUGGGUGACAAGGAAACUUAAAACGCAACAUGCACACACACUCCCUCUCUCUGUCACACACACAUAAUCCCCAAUGUAAAUACAUUGUAGUUUAUUUUAUGUAUGCUCCAUUUUAUUUGAGGAAAAUGUCUGCAAUAAAGUUUGUUCACAGUUAAGCAAUGUCUUUGGUUUAUUGUAUAUUUCUCCGUAUUUAAUGUGACCAAUAAAGUCUGCAGACCUGCAA